AUUGAACGCUGGCGGCAUGCUUUACACAUGCAAGUCGAACGGUAACAGGUUAAGCUGACGAGUGGCGAACGGGUGAGUAAUGCAUCGGAACGUGCCCGAUCGUGGGGGAUAACGCAGCGAAAGCUGCGCUAAUACCGCAUACGAUCUGAGGAUGAAAGCGGGGGACCGUAAGGCCUCGCGCGAUCGGAGCGGCCGAUGUCAGAUUAGGUAGUUGGUGGGGUAAAGGCCCACCAAGCCGACGAUUUGUAGCUGGUAUGAGAGAACGAACAUCCACACUGGGACUGAGACACUGCCCAGACUCCUACGGGAGGCAGCAGUGGGGAAUUUUGGACAAUGGGCGAAAGCCUGAUCCAGCAAUGCCGCGUGCAGGAAGAAGGCCUUCGGGUUGUAAACUGCUUUUGUACGGAGCGAAAAGGUCCUUUCUAAUACAAGGGGCUCAUGACGGUACCGUAAGAAUAAGCACCGGCUAACUACGUGCCAGCCGCCGCCGUAA
rnacentral:rRNA from 1 species